rnacentral:rRNA from 1 species
UACGAAGGGGGCGAGCGUUGUUCGGAUUUACUGGGCGUAAAGGGCGCGCAGGCGGCUCAUUUUGUCAGGCGUGAAAGCCCCGGGCUUAACCUGGGAACUGCGUUUGAUACGGAUGGGCUAGAGUUCGGGAGAGGAGAGUGGAAUUCCCAGUGUAGAGGUGAAAUUCGUAGAUAUUGGGAAGAACACCGGUGGCGAAGGCGGCUCUCUGGACCGAUACUGACGCUGAGGCGCGGAAGCGUGGGGAGCAAACAGG